GAGAGAGAGAGAGAUAGAGAGAGAGAGAGAGAGAGAGAGAGAGAGAAAGAAAGAAACAACUUUCACGCGGAUUCGUCUGGUGAGCCAAUGCUCGUCGUAAGCAUGCAAGUGGAAUAAUAUAAUAAGGUAGCGUUGGCAAAGAAAUACGAGAUAUAGCGAGUACAUGUAUAGGUAUAUGUGUGUGUACUUGGGUGGAUGGGUGAGUGAGUGGGUGGAU